rnacentral:rRNA from 1 species
UACGGAGGGAGCUAGCGUUAUUCGGAAUUACUGGGCGUAAAGCGCACGUAGGCGGCUUUGUAAGUAAGAGGUGAAAGCCCAGAGCUCAACUCUGGAAUUGCCUUUAGACUGCAUCGCUUGAAUCAUGGAGAGGUCAGUGGAAUUACCGAGUGUAGAGGUGAAAUUCGUAGAUAUUCGGAAGAACACCAGUGGCGAAGGCGGCUGACUGGACAUGUAUUGACGCUGAGGUGCGAAAGCGUGGGGAGCAAACAGG